rnacentral:rRNA from 1 species
AAUGAACGCUGGCGGCAUGCCUAACACAUGCAAGUCGAACGGCAGCACGGGUGCUUGCCUCUGGUGGCGUGUGGCGCACGGGUGAGUAUUACAUGGGAACAUGUUAUGUAGUGGGGGGUAGUACGGCGAACGAAGGAUUACUACUGCCUACGAAUUUCGGGUGACAGCGGGGGCCCUUCUGGCCUCGGGUUAUUGGGUUGGUCGAUAUCUGAUUAGCUAGUUGGUGGGGUAUAGGCAUACCAAGGCGACAAUGAGUAGCUGGUCUGAGAGCGCGACCAGCCACACUGGAACUGAGACACGGCCCAGACUCCUACGGGAGGCAGCAGUGGGGAAUUUUGGGCAAAGGGCGAAAGCCUGAUCCAGCAAUGCCGCGUGAGUGAAGAAGGCCUUCGGAUUGUAAAGCACUGUUGUCCGGAAAGAAAUCCUGGGCUCUAAUACGGGCGGAUGAUGACGGUACCGGAAGAAUAAGCACCGGCUAACUACGUG